UCCGGUGGAAGCUCACCGUCGAGGCCACGCACUGGGUGCCAGUCACCCGCUGUCCCCGCCUCGGGGAAGGUCUGAGGGAAGGGCCGGAGGCGGCUCCAGCAGAGCCCCGCCCGCGUUGGGUGGGUGAGCCACCAGCAAGGGGGGGCACCGCGCGGGUCGGCCCGGGCAGGAGAAGCCGAGCGGCUGCGGAGCACAUCCGAGAGCCGGGGCGGAUGCUCGUGGCCCCGCGGUGCUUUGAGACAGACUCACGGCCGGCGCGCUGAGUCCAAUGGGUGAGAUGGGGCAGAGCCGCACAACCUAAUUCAGACUACUCUCCGCCGGA
rfam:Callipepla squamata strain Texas jcf7180005230324, whole genome shotgun sequence.